CAUGCAGUCGAACGAUGAAGCCCUUCGGGGUGGAUUAGUGGCGAACGGGUGAGUAACACGUGGGCAAUCUGCCCUUCACUCUGGGACAAGCCUUGGAAACGAGGUCUAAUACCGGAUAACACUCCCAUUCUCCUGGAUGGGGGUUAAAAGCUCCGGCGGUGAAGGAUGAGCCCGCGGCCUAUCAKCUUGUUGGUGAGGUAAUGGCUCACCAAGGCGACGACGGGUAGCCGGCCUGAGAGGGCGACCGGCCACACUGGGACUGAGACACGGCCCAGACUCCUACGGGAGGCAGCAGUGGGGAAUAUUGCACAAUGGGCGAAAGCCUGAUGCAGCGACGCCGCGUGAGGGAUGACGGCCUUCGGGUUGUAAACCUCUUUCAGCAGGGAAGAAGCGAAAGUGACGGUACCUGCAGAAGAAGCGCCGGCUAACUACGUGCCAGCAGCCGCGGUAAUACGUAGGGCGCAAGCGUUGUCCGGAAUUAUUGGGCGUAAAGAGCUCGUAGGCGGCUUGUCACGUCSAUUGUGAAAGCUCGGGGCUUAACCCCGAGUCUGCAGUCGAUACGGGCUAGCUAGAGUGUGGUAGGGGAGAUCGGAAUUCCUGGUGUAGCGGUGAAAUGCGCAGAUAUCAGGAGGAACACCGGUGGCGAAGGCGGAUCUCUGGGCCAUUACUGACGCUGAGGAGCGAAAGCGUGGGGAGCGAACAGGAUUAGAUACCCUGGUAGUCCACGCCGUAAACGGUGGGCACUAGGUGUGGGCAACAUUCCACGUUGUCCGCGCCGCAGCUAACGCAUUAAGUGCCCCGCCUGGGGAGUACGGCCGCAAGGCUAAAACUCAAAGGAAUUGACGGGGGCCCGCACAAGCAGCGGAGCAUGUGGCUUAAUUCGACGCAACGCGAAGAACCUUACCAAGGCUUGACAUACACCGGAAACGUCUGGAGACAGGCGCCCCCUUGUGGUCGGUGUACAGGUGGUGCAUGGCUGUCGUCAGCUCGUGUCCUGAGAUGUUGGGUUAAGUCCCGCAACGAGCGCAACCCUUGUUCUGUGUUGCCAGCAUGCCCUUCGGGGUGAUGGCGACUCMCAGGAGACCGCCGGGGUCAACUCGGAGGAAGGUGGGGACGACGUCAAGUCAUCAUGCCCCUUAWGUC
rnacentral:rRNA from 1 species